rnacentral:rRNA from 1 species
AACUAACGCUGGCGGCGUGGCUUAGGCAUGCAAGUCGUACGAUCCCCGCAAGGGGAUAGUGGCGCAAGGGUGAAUAACGCAUGGGUAAUCUACCCUCGGAACUGGGGUAACCUCGCGAAAGCGGGGCUAAUACCGGAUGAUAUCAGAGCGGGGCAUCUCGCUCUGAUCAAAGAUGGCCUCUAUUUAUAAGCUAUCGUCUGAGGAGGAGCCCGUGUCCUAUCAGCUUGUUGGUGAGGUAACGGCUCACCAAGGCUUAGACGGGUAGCCGGACUGAGAGGUUGUACGGCCACACUGGGACUGAGACACUGCCCAGACUCCUACGGGAGGCUGCAGUCGAGAAUCUUUUGCAAUGGGCGAAAGCCUGACAAAGCAACGCCGCGUGAGUGAUGAAGGUCUUCGGAUUGUAAAGCUCUGUCGUCUGGGACGAAACAGCUUGGCGCUAAUAUCGCCAGGCCUUGACGGUACCAGAGGAGGAAGCCCCGGCUAACUUCGUGCCAGCAGCCGCGGUAAUACGAA